rnacentral:rRNA from 1 species
AGAGUUUGAUCCUGGCUCAGAUUGAACGCUGGCGGCAGGCCUAACACAUGCAAGUCGAACGGUAACAGGAAGCAGCUUGCUGCUUUGCUGACGAGUGGCGGACGGGUGAGUAAUGUCUGGGAAACUGCCCGAUGGAGGGGGAUAACUACUGGAAACGGUAGCUAAUACCGCAUAACGUCGCAAGACCAAAGAGGGGGACCUUAGGGCCUCUUGCCAUCGGAUGUGCCCAGAUGGGAUUAGCUAGUAGGUGGGGUAACGGCUCACCUAGGCGACGAUCCCUAGCUGGUCUGAGAGGAUGACCAGCCACACUGGAACUGAGACACGGUCCAGACUCCUACGGGAGGCAGCAGUGGGAAAUAUU